rnacentral:rRNA from 1 species
AUGGGCGAGCCUGAUCCAGCCAUGCCGCGUGUGUGAAGAAGGUCUUCGGAUUGUAAAGCACUUUAAGUUGGGAGGAAGGGCAGUAAGCUAAUACCUUGCUGUUUUGACGUUACCGACAGAAUAAGCACCGGCUAACUCUGUGCCAGCAGCCGCGGUAAUACGA